GGAGUGCACAGGGUGUGCUGGCCCUGGGGUGCCUUGAGUCGGUCACUGUGGCUCUGUGCAUGGGGACUUCCACCCUCCAAUCACAGGACUGUGGAGAGGAAUCAGUGGAGCGGUGGGCAGAAAGCACUCAGCCAAUGGCAGGCGUCACUGUCAGUUCCUUCCAGAAGCCUGGUGUCUCCUAGAUCCAGAAAGUGAGGCUCGGAGGAAACCACCUGACACAGUGCGGGCCAGGUUUGGGCCUGAGUCUUCGCUGCUUGUGCCCGGACCCCCUAAGCUGUGCCCACGGCAUGGAAAGUGUUCAUGAACAUCGUAUUGCACGAACAUCACGGCAAGUUGCCAAGUCAUAUAGACGGUGCGGUCCGCAAAAAUACACCUCAAUGUGCACAGGAAAAUAAUUACCAACAUUCCGUCUCCACUUAUGCCUGGCUGGGAGGGCGUUGUGGAAGAAAGACCUCAGGGCUGCUGGAUCUCCGUGGUCCCCCCAGAUGACGGGUGGCCGCUCCCACUGAGGACAAGUCGCGAGGUCUGGACGCCGGAACAAAACGCCGGCCUCCGAUGCUGGUAGUGGUGGUCACAUACUUAGGACUUUUCACAAAGGCUGUGAAAAGUACGAAAGGAAAAAGUCCCCCAUCAAGAAUUUUUGGGGACAUAAUUGAAGAUGUGGGAGAAGAUUUGAAGUGAGAGGUAUGAAUCCUAGAAGUCAAUGGAAGUGGAGUGAAAAAAAAGGCCCCAGCACUUACACUCUGAUUAUUUCCGGAUGGUGGGUGGGCGUGGAGUUCAUUUUUAUUCCCUUCUUUGUGUUUAUCCACUUGUCUUUAUUCUGCACGGCGAGCGCACAUUACUUACAGACAGUACGCACCCACCCACCUCGCCACAUGCUUUAA